rnacentral:rRNA from 1 species
AGUGAACGCUGGCGGUAGGCCUAACACAUGCAAGUCGAACGGCAGCACAGUAAGAGCUUGCUCUUACGGGUGGCGAGUGGCGGACGGGUGAGGAAUACAUCGGAAUCUACUUUUUCGUGGGGGAUAACGUAGGGAAACUUACGCUAAUACCGCAUACGACCUACGGGUGAAAGCAGGGGAUCUUCGGACCUUGCGCGAUUGAAUGAGCCGAUGUCGGAUUAGCUAGUUGGCGGGGUAAAGGCCCACCAAGGCGACGAUCCGUAGCUGGUCUGAGAGGAUGAUAAGACACAUUGGAACGGAGACACGGUCAAGACUCCUACGGGGGGCAGCAGUGGGGAAUAGUGGACAAUGGGAGCAAGCCUGAUCCAGCAAUACCGCGGGGGGGAAGAAGGCCUUCGGGUUCUAAAGCCCUUUUGGUGGGAAAGAAAAGCAGCAGGUUAAUACCCAGAUGUGAUGACGGUAACCAAAGAAUAAGCAACGGCUAACUUCGUG